rnacentral:misc_RNA from 1 species
GAUUACAAAUUCAAGCAUAUAUGAACACCUCUUUAUAGUUUACUGCAACAAACAACAAUUCAAGCCCAAACUCCACAUCCUAGCAAGGUCUAGCAGUUCUCUCAAGGUCAGGGCUUCAUGAUAUGACUCACAAAAUAGAAAACUGUGUCCUUAUCACGUUUAUCAUCAAGCACCUAAUGAAGUUAGGGAUAUCAAGCCCCCAGAAAAUGACACCAAAUGAUUUAAUUGAUCUGCAUCGCUUCUUCAUGGUACUUCUCCAAAUCAGCAUCUAGAUCUUCAGCUGAUAACUUCUCUCCACGACCUCUGCCACUCCCACUCCCACUCCCACGUCCACGCCCUCCUCUUCCAGGACCACGUCCUCGUCCACCACCCCGGUUUCGACCCAGUACACGUCCACCUCUCGGAAAUCCAUUUGGAUUCCCAAAACUGGGAUUUGUAGAUGCAGGCACAGCUGGUGUCACGAUGUUAGAUCCCACGAUCUCCAACUUCAUGGGUUUCCCAUCUAGCUGAACAUUGUUAUAUCUCUUUAUAGCAGCAAGGGCAUCUGAUUGUCGUGAAAAAACAAUUUCUGCUGUUCCCUUUGAUCUCCCACUUUUAUCAUAAUUGAUAGAAUAUCGUUUGAGAUCACCAACUUCAGAAAAGAGUUCCUUGAUGUCCUCGUUGGAGACACCAUAAUCCAAAUUAGAAACAUAAAGCUUGGUGCCAGUUUCAAUAGCAGAGGCCCGUGGAGGCUGUGAAGGAUAUGCCGCACCGUGAUCUACAAACAUUUCGUGUGACCAAGCCGUCUCGGGCGCCUUGGCAGUAGAAUAGGGCGCUGGUCUAUUAAGACCGCGAUUGCGAAAGCGGCGAGAAGGACCUGGUCCAGAAGAAGCUCCGCCACGACCUCUGAAGUUUGAAGAUCCGGGUUUCUUGUUCUUCUUGAUGAUAUCAUCCAAGCUCAUGUCGAGAGGCUCUGCCAUUGGUGGUGGAUCAGAGAUUCAGAGAGGACAGACAAUUUCUAGGGUUCCGACGGAACGACGUGAUGUUGUGAGCAACCCGGGAAG